GCUCAAAGUUGGAACCUGUUUGGCUUAGCUAAACCGGAUUGUAAACUGUAGAAGUGUUUUCCAGACACGCCUGGUAAAAAAGUCCUUUGGAACAGGGCAUCAUAGAGGGUGAGAAUCCCGUCUUUGGCCAGAGCUGUUGUCUUUUGUGAUACAUUUUCAAAGAGUCAGGUUGUUUGGGAAUGCAGCCUAAAUUGGGUGGUAAAUCUCACCUAAAGCUAAAUAUUUGCGAGAGACCGAUAGCGAACAAGUACCGUGAGGGAAAGAUGAAAAGAACUUUGAAAAGAGAGUUAAACAGUAUGUGAAAUUGUUAAAAGGGAACCGUUUGGAGCCAGACUGGCUUGACUGUAAUCAAUCUAGGCUUCGGCCUGGAUGCACUUGCGGUUUAUGCCUGCCAACGACAAUUUUUUUUGAGGGAAAAAACUAUUAGGAAUGUGGCCCCCUCGGGGGUGUUAUAGCCUUUUAGAAAAUACCUUGAAUUGGAUUGAGGAACGCAGUGAAUGCCUCUUGAGGCAAGAUUGCUGGGUGCUUUCGCUGAUAAAUGCUAGAAUUUCUGCUU
rnacentral:rRNA from 1 species